AAUGAAAAACUUAUUAGUAGUGGUUAUUAUGUGCGCCACACACAAUCAAGGUCGCCGGUUCGAACCCGGCCAGAAACAUAAAACCCAUUUUACACUUUUU
rnacentral:lncRNA from 1 species